CCGCUGUUUCAUCCUCUUUCCACCUUCAAUUUUGCCUCUUCUUUCCCUCUCUGAUACCUCUAUAAAUACACACACAAGAGACCCAUUUGAUCUUCAGAUUCUAAAGUAUCAGAUUUGAGCUCUUCUUCCAGAGGCCUUGACCAAGAAAUGGUUUCUAUUAAUGUCCCUUCCUGCCCCUCAACAACUGCUAGAACAGCUCUCCCUUGUACCCAGUGAGAUUUAUUUUAUUCCCAGUUCUCUCUUUUGAUUUUCUUUAUUGAAUUUCUAAUAUCUUAACAUCUUAAAUCCCAUCUGGGUUUUCAUCUUAUUCUGUCUUCUUUAAUUUUUUCAAAAUUUUAAACGUAAUUUGGCUUUUGCUUACUUUGCUUUUUUCCAUUCAUGUUUACUUUUUCUAGUCAAUGGAUUCUUUGUUUGAUUCAUUCGUUCUUUUAUGAAAAUGAAUGGCUUUUUGUCAUGAACUUUAGUUUUAUUUCGCGUCAGUUGAUCAUUUUGUUUGAUUAGUAUCAUAUAGAAGGUGGGAUUUUUGUUUACCCUUACUGUAUUUUUAUUAGAUUUAACUUUUUCAUGAAGUAUUUUAGAAGAAUAAUUUGUAGAAUGGAUAUUAAUGCGAACGUACUUGAUAUUGUGCUCAAGCAAUGAGCUAUCCCUGAUCCCUCCAUUUGGUUGGCAAUGACUUCAAAGGAACAAAAUUUGUUACCGCUUAUUUCUAUGAACAAACUGGAAAGUAAUCAAUCAUCCAAGUAGACGGCUGCACUUAUUUUACCACUUUAUCGUUGAUAAUAGUUUUUUUUUUUUUUU
rnacentral:misc_RNA from 1 species